UACGUAGGGUGCAAGCGUUGUCCGGAAUUAUUGGGCGUAAAGAGCGUGUAGGCGGUCCGGUAAGUCCGCUGUGAAAGUCGGGGGCUCAACCCUCGAAUGCCGGUGGAUACUGUCGGGCUAGAGUACGGAAGAGGCGAGUGGAAUUCCUGGUGUAGCGGUGAAAUGCGCAGAUAUCAGGAGGAACACCAAUUGCGAAGGCAGCUCGCUGGGACGUUACUGACGCUGAGACGCGAAAGCGUGGGGAGCAAACAGG
rnacentral:rRNA from 1 species